rnacentral:rRNA from 1 species
AAUUGAUCUGGUUCAGGAUGAACGCUAGCUACAGGCUUAACACAUGCAAGUCGAGGGGCAGCAUUGAGAUAGCUUGCUAUUCAGAUGGCGACCGGCGCACGGGUGAGUAACGCGUAUCCAACCUUCCCCUUAGUAGGGCAUAGCCCGGUGAAAAUCGGAUUAAUACCCUAUGUUCUUCACAGCGGACAUCUAACGUGAAGCAAAGGUUCACCGCUAAGGGAUGGGGAUGCGUCUGAUUAGGUAGUCGGCGGGGUAACGGCCCACCGAGCCAUCGAUCAGUAGGGGUUCUGAGAGGAAGGUCCCCCACAUUGGAACUGAGACACGGUCCAAACUCCUACGGGAGGCAGCAGUGAGGAAUAUUGGUCAAUGGUCGAGAGACUGAACCAGCCAAGUAGCGUGCAGGAAUGACGGCCCUAUGGGUUGUAAACUGCUUUUAUGCGGGGAUAAAGUCACCCACGUGUGGGUGUUUGCAGGUACCGCAUGAAUAAGGACCGGCUAAUUCCGUGCCAGCAGCAGC